UUUUCUUUAAAUGCACAUUUAUUCACAGUUCAGUAGGACAGUAAAUUACCUGAAAGUGAAAUCAUUAUUGAAGGUGAUAUCAUUGUCACUGCAUUCAUUGUUACAUGAUUUUAAACAGUGGGAAUCAUCGUGUAAGUUUCUUAAUAAUAUCAAAUACUACUUUUUUGUCUUGUUGUUUCUAGACCUGAGGAUAAGAUUUCCAGUUUGAAAGUGAAGAAAAUGAAUCAUUAUUAACAGCAAUUAGUAGUUUUUCAGCUGAGAAGCCAGGUGAAACUAUAAGGACACUAUGAUUUACUUUCAUAUUAUCAUUCUUUUAUAGAUGAGGAGCAACCAGUAAGAAAAAGCAAAAAGAUGUUUUGAUGUUGCCUGAGGCACCUUAUUCACAUCAGUCAAUUUCUUCCAAUAAUGAAUCAAGAAAUCCUGGAGUGGAGAAUCAUUCUGAAAGUAGACCAAAUACAGGACAACACCACAGCAGUGGUUGGAAAAAUGCAGCAGACAAUGAGCAAACCAAGCUGACUUUCAAAAGAUGAUUCGUUAUCUGUUUCUUCAAAGGGGAGGCAGUUUGGGAGAUGGGAAAUAGGAGGAUGCUACAGCUACACAGGGCGAAUUUCAGCAGCUCAGUUUCACACUUGCAACUAACAAUGAAUUAUAGUUUGAAGACAACGGAAAUAUUUGACAUGGGAGUCCAGCAGACAGCCAGAGACACGCACACACACGGAGCUGAAGCGCGUUUGACUGAAGCGUACGGGAGAUCAGGCACGCGCACGGGAGCUCGCUCGCGCACGCACACACAAACA